CGUGGUGCACCACAGCACAAGACGUCGCGGCCGACACGAUGCUCCCCCGCACAAGUCUGUGCGCUGCGCCGUCUGUGGCCACGGCGAGGCCAUCUUCUUCCCGGUCAUCUUCUUCAGAGACCAUGACAAACUUACUCCAGAGCUAGCUUCAUCUUAUUCAGAUGUCAUGACAAACUUCAGAGUUCUUCGGUAGCUUCAGCAGUGGACCUUAAGAGCAAUCAUGUUCUGAAGUUUAAUUCACUCAAGCAAACCAUGAGCUGCAGAACUUGAUUAAAUUGAUUUGCAAUGGAUACUUUGUUUUUGUC